rnacentral:rRNA from 1 species
GUCUGGUGCCAGCAGCCGCGGUAAGACGUAGGGACCAAGCGUUAUCCGGAUUUAUUGGGCGUAAAGAGCUCGUAGGCGGUUGCGUAAGUCGGAUGUGAAAACUCAGGGCUUAACCCUGAGACGCCAUCCGAUACUGCGCUGACUUGAAUCCAGUAGGGGAGUGUGGAAUUUGUUGUGUAGCGGUGAAAUGCGCAGAUAUGACAAGGAACACCUAUGGCGAAGGCAGCACUCUGGGCUGGUAUUGACGCUGAGGAGCGAAAGCAUGGGUAGCAAACAGGAUUGGAUACCCUGGUAGUCCAUGCCGUAAACGGUGGGCACUAGGUGUGGGGACUUUCAACGGUUUCCGUGCCGAAGCUAACGCAUUAAGUGCCCCGCCUGGGGAGUACGGCCGCAAGGCUAAAACUCAAAGGAAUUGACGGGGGCCCGCACAAGCGGCGGAGCAUGUUGCUUAAUUCGAGGCAACGCGAAGAACCUUACCUGGGUUUGACAUGUACCGAAAAGCCAUAGAGAUAUGGUGUCCUUCGGGGCGGUACACAGGUGGUGCAUGGCCGUUCA